CCUAAAAUUUUUGAGUGCUCUUAUUACUCUCUACCAGUUACACUCAAACUAUGGGGUAUUGUUUUUCAUUCUUAAAAAAAAAAGUGAGAUUUUAAAGUUUAUUAGUUUUAUUAUUUCAAUCUGCUGUUGAUAGAAGCUCACAUCACAGGUAUUGUAACUGGGGUGAGACAUUUCUUGGGGAGGCCCUUGGAAAGUAUAGCUCCGACAUCAUCUCACCGGUGGAGGCUUUCAGAGGUUCUUGCCAAUUGAAAUAUAUUUGGCCAAAGAAUUUUGUUAGAAUCAAAUUGAGAUAAUCACUAUGGGUGAAUGGUGAUCAAUUUCUUCAAUCUUGUUCUGGAUAAGAAGGGGAAAUGACGGUUAAACGAAAACGCAAAGCUGCAGCCAAAAAGGAUGAUAAAAAAGAUGAUGUGACUAAAUUCAUGUGAGUUUUCUUUGAGGAUUUUUGGUUAAUUUGUUUGUGGACACUGAAUUUUGAAGUGAUUGGGUUUUUUUUAACUAUUACCUAUUGUUAAUCUAUUUUAUGUUUUCCAUGAAAGAAACUAUGGUUCAAAUUCAAUUUGAAAGAGGUUGAAUUGAGACUUUAUUAAGAGAGCAAAAUAGGCUACAAAAUGCUGAGAUGGAGAAGGUUCUUGUUGGAAAGUGGAAUGCCACUUUCAAUUUGGGUUCGACAAGUAAGUCUCAGAAGAAGAAGGAGAUUGCACCUUAUGAUUUGGACGAGAGUGAUGGAAAUGCAGAGGAGGACAACAAUGAAGGCGAUGAAAGGGGGUUUUGAUGUAGAUUUAGGCGAAAUGAUCAAUCGAUGCUGAUCGUGAGGAUAGUGGAUACACUAUUGGAUGAGCGAAAGACAAUGGUACGAGGGCCAAAUUUGGGGCAUAUCUGAGGGCAGAUUGUUAUGAUUGAUUAAAUACAUAAAGAUAAACAUUAAAAUAGAAGCAAGGUAUAAACAUUUAGUGAAUUUCACAUAGUAAAGAAGUGAAAUUUGAGUUCAAUUGUAUGCACUUUAAAAAUGUGUUUUUGGAUCCAAAGUGAUGCAUGAAGGUAUCUAAGGGUCCCCAAAAAGUUUGGUAGCAUUUGGAUUAUUUUUAGGACCCUUGAAGAGGUCCAAAAUCAGAGAGGGUGGCGAUGCAAGUGGCUUAGCAUCACCUAUUGCUUAGGGUUUCAAAAACCCUAGCAGGAGAUGAGGCGAUGCGUCCCCUACGAAGUCCGUACGACUUACGUAAAUUAGCUCCAAAUGACGUGUUUUACAAGUCUAAUCUUAUUGGUUAGACCUAAUGACAGUGCCUACUCUAUAUAGUGUCAAAAUAGAGUUUUAGAAAACUUGAUCACUCUCUCCAAUCCCUCUUUAACCUUUCUCUCUCUCUAGCUCCAAGAAUCUCAAGUUUUGUCCAAUAACUCAUAAAGAAAGUGCUUAACUUUGUGAGUUUAAGGCUUGUUCAAUCUCAAUCCUCAUUUCCUUUUAAAAAAUACUAAGCAUCAAUGGUGGCUAGGAAUAGAGUAUUAGGAGAGCGUUAAGAAACGUGUAUAAGCUUUGGAAUUGUGUUUUGCUUUUGUUCUAAGGAUUUUCUCAAAGUGGUGGUUCUAUAUGGGUUUUCAAGGUUCAUCAAGGUUGAAGAAGCUCAUUCACCAACUUGGGUUUGCAUAAUCUUUCUCAAUCUUUAUUUAGUCUAUGUCAAUCCAAUUUUUAUGUAGAUUCUAAAUUUAUAGGU